AAACUGUUUGUUUAAAACUUAUACAGUGUAUAUGUAUAUAAAGUCUUUUGUCUGGCCAAAAAAAUUUCCCUGGAACCUAAACCCACCCUAUUUACAUUAAUUCUUAUGCGGAUAUUGGAUUAGCUUAACAUAGUUUCGCUUAAAAGAGCAUUUUUCUGGAACAGAACUACAACGUUAAGUGAGG